UUUGACCUCAAAAUCAAGGAAAGAAUACCCGCUGAACUUAAGCAUAUCAAUAAGCCGGAGGA
rnacentral:rRNA from 1 species